UAGAGUUUGAAGUGUGGGGUUGACUUCGGGGAGGCGGACCGGCAGGCUACUGUAGGUGUCCUCCAUCUGCUGGACCAGAGCUUUAUCAACCUUUCCUGCGACCUCGCUCUCUGCUUGACCUCGACCACUGAGGCAACCUAAGGACAACACCUCCACCAGCUGGUACGGAACACGUCCCUUUUUCAUGCGGUGAACCAGGGUUUGGAUGUUCCUGAAACCGUAGACAGCCGCAAACUUCAGCAGAUUCUCUCCAUCACGCUCCAGGGUCACUUCUUGGAAGUCCCGGUUCCUACAAAAACCACCACCGUGGUUCACAACAAGGUCCUAUAUGUGAUCUCAUCCACGUCCAGACCAAAGAGCUCUUUCGCAGCAUGUUUGAACACAUGUUCUAGGAAACCUUCAGAACCUCUACCCUCGUGCCUCUGUAGUGAUGAGUCUCCAACUUCACCAAGACUGCAAAACAAAGUGACGUGGAAGGUUGCACAACAUCAUGUCCAGAACGACACACAAAGAGACUACACUCACCUGCUGCUUUGAGAAGAAGUCUUUGACAAGACAGCCCAUGAUCUGCUGUGGAGACCUGGCUGUACAUAUAUGUGGGGUGACCAUGCUGCCCAGGACCCGCUCUGAAUGCUGAAGCCUGCAGCCAGAGUGGUGUCAAAGACGUAGUGUACUCCUGAAAUAUAACAGAGCCACGACAGUGAGAACGGAGAGCAGGGAAAAAGUGGAGCUUCUGUGACAGAUACCAAAGAGAAGGUGGCAAUUUCUGCACAGCAAGAAACAGAAGAAUGGAAUGGAACAAUGGACUAUAUACCAAAUGCAUCUUCGACCAGUGUUCAUUAAAGCACUGACAGGGUUACAGACCCAGGAUGUGUGUUAAAGCCA